AGUCUCAAAGAUUAGUUUGCUGCUUUGCUGUCAGCUUCCCCAUCUUGGCAUAAUAGUUUAAUUGCAAAUUGCUCUUCUUCUCUUUUGUGUGGCUGUCUUGCUGUCGAAAGCCAAGGUCAAGUUUGAAGAUUAGUUCAAUUAAAACUUGAUAUCUCAUCUCAGUUUGCUGCCUUGCUAUCGUGCUUCCCAAUCCCAUCUUAGCUUGCUGUCUUGUCCAAGAUCAAGCUUCAAUCUUGAAGAUCAAAAGAAGACCCCUCUUCAUCAUGGCUCAAGUAAGCUCAUACAUGGCAUCUCUUUCACAAAGUCAAUGGUUUUUCAUGGGUUCCCUUCUUGUGUCAGUUUUGAUUAAGGAGUUGGAGUGUUUGGCUUAUAGAAUUGGUAUUCCCAAUUGAAAUUAGGAGCAUGGGUUUACAUGUGCAAUCUGAAAUUAUGGGUAUGGGUUUACCUACUCCAAUUGAGAUUAAGGGGUCUUUGAGUGAACCAACCUUCCUUUUCCUCCUCUAUAUAUAUGGGUUCUCUGUUCCUACUCGGACAUUGAAAAUACUUUUGUGUUUCAGUCCCUUUGUUUAUCAAGAGUUUAUCUCUUUGGUUUUCUGUUUUUCAAAAUGUCUUGUUCCAUGUUGAAAACAAUUUGAAAAACACAAAACCAUUCAUGCAUAUUCAUCUCUUGCAUCCCAUGAGUUCGGCUAUUACCACCCAAUUGCAACCAAUUCCUUUUGUUCACCCUAUAUGAUUUUGAUUUAUCGAAAAACCAAAAUAUUCCAAUUCAAAAUUACAGUUAAAGACGAUUACACCGUGAAUUUUUUUUUUUUUUUUUAGAAUAAAAAAUAUCUAUUUAUUAUGAGGUCAGAACAUCACAUACAUCAGUUUUCCAAACUCGACCCAUAUAUCUACUAACCAAAUUUGACAAACACCACUCACAAACAAUUAUAUUUCUAAGAGCGAGUCAUUAGGGUUUUUCUAGCCUGACAAUACAAAUGUACAAAACUAAACUUAGGUAAUUAAGGAGAUUUCAUCCCUCUCCUUGAUGCUCUAUGUAGUUUUGACGAAAAGUAUGUAUACCGUAAAAAUUACAUUUAACUUUGCUUUACGAAACUAUAUUCAUAUCAUCUUACAAGAAAUAGAAAAUAGAAAUAACAUGGGAAUAUUUUUGGAAUGUUUGUUCAUGUGUGACUCUGUGGGUUCCCCUUAAGUACCUUAAGGUAUCAGUACAUUAAAAUUCGUAAUUGCAUUCGGGCCGUCCAUAUUACAAGGGCAAAUUCAACGGACACGCAUCUGCACCACUGCACGUGAUUGCGAGUGUCGCCGGAAGUGAUUAAGGUCGAGAAGGACAAGGUGGCCAAGAACGCCUCGAUUUCUUUUUGUGGACCCACGAGACCACAUGCUCUCCCCCUCAUAACCCUUCAAAAAUGAAUGCUCGGAGUCCCAUCACACCGAUAACCCAGACCAAAACGGCGUCGUUGAAGUCAUUGGUUCAACUCCUUCUCCUAUCAUUCCCUAGGACAAAGUCCUCGUUUCAAGUCUGUAUGGCAGAAUUUCAUCAUUCAUAUCUAAUUGCUCUUCAUUCCGAGCUUAAAAUCGUUCAAAGCUGGGGUUUUUGCGAUGACUCAGUUGUAAAUUUAUGUUCUUUGAUUAGAAAUAGUCGGACUUGAUUGUGGGUUU